AUUUCCAAAUAUAUAUAGGGAUGUCAAUUGUACCCGCACCCAACGCGGAACCCGAUUCCCCGCCCCUACGGGGACGGGAAUGGGGACAAAAAUAGGGGAUCUGGGAUGGGGAUGGGGACAAUUUUG